rnacentral:rRNA from 1 species
AUUGAACGCUGGCGGCAUGCCUUACACAUGCAAGUCGAACGGCAGCGCGGGAGCAAUCCUGGUGGCGAGUGGCGAACGGGUGAGUAAUGUAUCGGAACGUGCCCAGUUGUGGGGGAUAACUACUUGAAAGAGUGGCUAAUACCGCAUACGACCUGAGGGUGAAAGCGGGGGAUCGCAAGACCUCGCGCAAUUGGAGCGGCCGAUAUCAGAUUAGCUAGUUGGCGGGUAAAAGCCCACCAAGGCGACGAUCUGUAGCUGGUCUGAGAGGACGACCAGCCACACUGGGACUGAGACACGGCCCAGACUCCUACGGGAGGCAGCAGUGGGGAAUUUUGGACAAUG